rnacentral:rRNA from 1 species
AACGAACGCUGGCGGCAUGCCUAACACAUGCAAGUCGAACGAGACCUUCGGGUCUAGUGGCGCACGGGUGCGUAAUGCGUGGAAACCUGCCCUUAGGUUCGGAAUAACUCCCCGAAAGGGGUGCUAAUACCGGAUAAUGUCUUCGGACCAAAGAUUUAUCGCCUUUGGAUGGGCCCGCGUUGGAUUAGCUAGUUGGUAGGGUAAAAGCCUACCAAGGCGACGAUCCAUAGCUGGUCUGAGAGGAUGAUCAGCCACACUGGGACUGAGACACGGCCCAGACUCCUACGGGAGGCAGCAGUGGGGAAUAUUGGACAAUGGGCGAAAGCCUGAUCCAGCAAUGCCGCGUGAGUGAUGAAGGCCUUAGGGUUGUAAAGCUCUUUUACCCGGGAUGAUAAUGACAGUACCGGGAGAAUAAGCUCCGGCUAACUCCGUG